UCUGCUAAAAUUUAACUUAGUCGUAAUUAGGCAGUUAAAGCAAACACUGUUAACUUACAUCAAUAAGAUGUAUCAUUAUAUUUAAAGUGUAUCAUUAUAUAUCAAUUCUUUUUUCAUGAAAGUCCAACAAAUUAUCAAAAGUGAAAUAUCAAACAAGAAACUGCACGUGUAGUUGGAAAAUACGAAAAUUUUACAUAGCUCUCUACAUAAUAUCUGUGUGUGUAUAGAUUACUAGAAAAUGGUUGGAAUGAUGUAAUCACAACUCACAUAAUUAAAAUACCGCAUAAUUAAUUGCGUGUAUACUAAUAGUCCGAUAGUAGUAAAAAGAGCAUCGAUCAAAUGGUGAUAAUACGGGAAGUAAAGAAAAAGGUACAUUUCAACAACUCGAAUACACCAAGGAGAAAAAAAUUAAGCAAAUAAAAUUUAAAAACGAAUAACAGCUAUCAAUAACAUUAGAGGACAACGAUCAUCAAUACGAAGGAUGGAUUUGAAAAAAGAGCGACGAAGAUCUAAUAUAUAAAUAACAAUGACGUAGCAAGGACGAAUACUGAGAGAAGAAAAGUAUGUUUGUGAUCGAGCUAAGGUGAGCACACUGUAAUAAAUAUGACUGAAAAAGACCCAUUUUUUUAGUCUCAGGAAGGCACGGUAAGAGCACGAUCUUUUACAGAAAUAAAUGAAAUGUUAUCAAUAUUCGACUCGAUUACUGAAGAUCUCGAUAUUAGGAAAUGAAUUCAAAAAUUUUAUUUUUAAGAGAAUAAGACCUAUAGAGACAGGACUGUUUAAAAAUAAUGACGAGCUUAUCUGGAAGAUAGCGUUAAAAAAUAACAGACUAUACAUAUGGAUAAGCUAUAGUUUUUAGAAUAUUGAUUACAUGAUUUUUGAUAAUUGAUUAAAGCAAAAAUAAGGAUUCAUGCAGUUCAGGUGAAAUAUCUAGCCAUCCGUUUGAUCGUAGACUAUCAUUAUACUAAGCAACAUAUAUUUCCGAAAAUGUGAGUAUAUUUUCAAAGAUAGAUUCAGUACGCUAAAAUAAGAAAAAUGUUCAUAUGAACAUAUUACCUAUAAACCUGAAAAAUAUUCAUAUGAACACAUUACGAUAUAAUCUUGUUUCCGAAUUAUAGCUGUUUUUGUCUUCCUAUAAUAACCAUUUCAUCGAACGAGUUUUUCUGAAAAGAAUCUUAAGUGGCAUAUCACAUAAUUUAUUUUUUAAGUAAAAACUUACAUGAACUAUUAAAAGACGCAUCGCUUGAUGUCAUCAACCAUAUAUGAUUUAUGGUGCAUAUAUAUGAUAAUUUUAAUCGAUCACCUUAUUUUAAUCAAUUAGCAAGAUAGUUUUUAAAUUAGAGAUUCUUUAAUAAAUGGAUUGGUCAUGGAGAGUCAAUUAAUUGGCCAACACGAUCAUCUAAUCUAAAUCCUUUGGAUUUUUAUUUGUGAGAGUAUCUAAAGUCUUUGGUUUAUAAUGCAUUAGUAAAUGAUGUUGAAGAACUGCGAUAUCAUAUUCAAGAGUGUUCUCUGCGAAUUCAAACAACACUUAGUACUUUUGAACGAGUGAAAAGAUCUAUGAUGUGAUGUUUGAAAGCCUGUCCUUAAACUGAUUUGGCCAUUUUAAAUAAUUUUUAUGAAAAUUAUUAAAUAACAGGUUUCACAUAAAAACAGUAAUAAUUUGGAAACAAUUUCAUAUUGGCCAUAUGUUCAUAUGAACUUUUUUCUUAUUUUAACAUACAAUCUAUCCCUGGAAUUAUGCUAUUUUUGGUAAUAUCUUGUAUAUACAUGAGUCGAUCAAAUAAAUCAUGAACAUUUUAAUGUCAGUUGAUGUAGUAGCACAAAUCUUUACAAAAACAAAAACUCCGAAUGCUGAACAUAGUAAUAUAUCUUUCUAAUAUACGAACUAAAAUAAUAAAAAAUAGCUUCUCCUAUAUGUGAAGUUUGAAAAAUAAAUGUUAAGUACUUAUUUCUAAACAUUUUUAGAAUACUUGUAACUGUAAAAAACACGCUACGAAGAAUUUUGUCAUCAUGUUUUUACAUUUAUAUCGUGUCGAUUAAUGUGUGUUCGCAAAAUUACUUAAAACCAACGAAAAAUAAAAAGAACACAAAAUUAAAUAGUCAGUUUUGCCUGAAAAUAUUAUUCUAACACUAAUUAAGUCACAAGUUAAUUAUUUCUGUAUUAAAAAAUUAUGAUAUUCCACUGGUAUAAAAUAAUCCAAGAAAACUAUUUCUUCUCACAAUAAAAUUUACUUGGCUUGUAAUAAUCCUAUCAGUAAUUAAACAUUUUACUCCUUAACUCUAUUAACUUUAUUUAUUAACAUUUAUCAAUUAACUUCAAACUCUGGUUUUACCAUAUGUUCUAAAAAUUUCUGCUAAAUUUUCCACUAUUAAAUUGAUAAUUGCUGCUGACUUUGUCACUGUAUAUGUUCUUCAGCUAGCUUGCUGAAACUUCCACUUGCCAACAAAAUGUUAAUAAAAAAAUUUAUGGAGAGAUUGAAUUAUAACAAUUAAUCUCAAACGGUUUAAUAAUAAUGGACAACCAGGUCAUUUCAAUUUUACCUCUAUUAAAUGUUACUGGCAGAUAUUUUGUAAUCAAUGAAGGAACACUCAUUACGCGAGAGAUUUGAUAAUAUUUCAUUAGAAAGAUACAAAGAAAUUACACGAAUAGAAUCAAGAUGAAUAUAACACUGAUGUAUUUGACAUCUAUAUAUUAUCAAGUAUACGGAGUAUUCCUUCAGAAACACAACAACAAUAGUAAAUAAUACAGCAAAUUAUGGGAGUCUACAUCAUCAAAGAAAGUGGUAGUACAUUUCCCCAUCGAGCAAGACAAACAGUUAAUAUUAAAAAAAAAAAAACAUGUAUAAAAAGUGCACAGUGUAUAAUUUAUUCCAAUAAUUUGGUAUAAAUUACAUAUAUAUUAAACGUGGACAUCACAAAAAUGUCGGCGAAAAUGUAAUCUUCCAACCAAAUGACCGCAAGUAUAGCGUGAUAAUAAUUCCAUACCCAUCAAGACUUUUGAGCUAAAUAUGGUAAUAUAUGGUAUAUAUCAUCGACAUACUUUCUAUCCAUUAGAACUUUGCAAUAAUUAACUGACGACGAAAGUAAUUUGUCUCGCCAACAUUAUUAAGUGCGAUUUCUACGUCGACGAUUUAAUCACGGCCACUCACGCGUUUAGUGAAGCUAUAAAAAUCAGAGACGAAAUACUUAACAUCGCAUCAAAGGAUGGUUUUGCAUUACAGCAGUGGGCCUUCAACGAAGAAAGUCUAAUCUCGGAUUUGGUCAACUGUUCAACGAACAUACAUAUUCGUUGAAAUCUGGAGAAGACUACCUCUACUCUUGGGGUAGUUUGAAAUCCAUAGUCAAAAUCACAUAAUAUACCGCAUAAAAAUUGAUAAAAUCAAUCAAACACUCAGUAACUAAGCGUAACAUCCUUUCUCGUAUAGCAAAAUUAUUCCAUCCGCUCAUCUCGGUCCGCUCGUUCGGUCUACUCGGUUCGAUUAUCGCUAAAGCAAAAAUAAUAAUAUAGUAAUUUUGGCUAAUUGACAUUGGAUAGGACAACCCGGUUCCUGACCAAAUUCAUACGUCAUGGAUCGCAUAUUGAGAUCAGUUAGCGUCAUUAGAUGGAUUACGCCUUCCUCACAAAGCAAUUGUGGUUAAUUAUACAAGCAUUCAGCUGCACGGAUUUCGUGAUACAAAUGAAUGGGCUUAUGGGGCGUGCAUCUACAUAUCUAUGAUUUACAUCGACCGAUGCAAGGGUGCAAACUUCACUUCUUCGUGCGGAAUCGUGCGUGGUGUCGGGUUUUCAUUAACCGUCCCGAGAUUGGAAUUGAACGCCGCGCUUUGGGAAAGUACACAAUGUAUUGUGAAAGGUAUUAACGAUCGUAUAUGUCACUAAGAUGAUUUUUUGAUUCAACUCGACCAUUUGUUUAAUUUGGAUCAUCUUGCUUCAUCCGUUUAAGACGUUCGUAAUUAAUUGCGUCGUUGAAAUCAGAAGCAUAGAGACGAAUGAAAUAAUAAUGAAAUAAUAUCUUUAUUUUGAUGAAAUAAUACUUUCAUUUAUAGUAUAAAUUCAUUAAGACAUUUUUUAAAACAUUUGAACGAUUAUAGAAAAGAGUAAUGCAAGUUAUAAGAAUAUGAGAAUAACGGCAUUUCGUGCGAUAAUUUUUGGUUUUUGAGAUCAUUUUUAAAGUUUAUUGCUAAUUUUCGUUUAAUUUCGAAUUAGUAGGUCUAACGGAGUAACAUGGUGAAUUUUAUUAUUUAUUUUUAUGUAUAAAAAAAAAUAAAAUAUAAAAAAUAAAUUACUCGCACUUUUCUGGUCCGGAUUCAAAUAUCGUAUUCUUAUUUUCUAACCUUUUUUUUUCUUUUACGAAAAUUAAUUUCUAAUACGAAAUAUUAAUUGGUAAGAGGGAUUAUGAAAGAUUAUUAAAUAAUACUUUUUUUCGUGCAAAAAAUAAUUACUUCAGAAACACAAAUUAUAAAGAAAUAUUUUAUAAUAAAGAUUAUGAUAUCGUAUUAUUUGCGUUAUCUACUAUUAAGGCGUUAUUAUGGGAUGGAAAUAUAAUUUCACAAAAUUUGCCAUAUAUUUGUACUUGAAAUUUCAUUUAUUCAAAUAGAAACAGGAAAAAAUACUCUCUGACAUCUGAUUAAUUAUAUAUUAUGGGUAUACAAACAGUACGUAAAACUUUAUAAUGUAAAUUUAACAACGAUACGUUUAGUCUUUCUUCGUAACAAAGUUAUACUUAACAGACUUUCUAUCUUAAAGAAAAAAAUUGUUGCAUUGUUUCAAUUACAUUCUAUUUUAUGUUAGAAUUACGUAUUAUGAAAUAGAAAAUAUACAUUUAACUUUCUAUUAUAUUAUAUAAUUGCAAGUGGCUUUAGACCAAACUGUUUAGUUAACAACAAUUUGGGUUUUAUUAAAUACAAAAAUAAAUAGAUUUUUUAUUCUCUCACGAGAUAUACAAAUAUUCUGUCGUCUCACUGUAUACAUUAACUCAACAUUCAAUAAAUGUUCAAUAAAAACUCAACAAGUC